GACGAACGCUGGCGGCGUGCUUAACACAUGCAAGUCGAACGGAAAGGCCCUGCUUUUGUGGGGUGCUCGAGUGGCGAACGGGUGAGUAACACGUGAGUAACCUGCCCUUGACUUUGGGAUAACUUCAGGAAACUGGGGCUAAUACCGGAUAGGAGCUCCUGCUGCAUGGUGGGGGUUGGAAAGUUUCGGCGGGUGGGGAUGGACUCGCGGCUUAUUAGCUUGUUGGUGGGGUAGUGGCUUACCAAGGCUUUGACGGGUAGCCGGCCUGAGAGGGUGACCGGCGACAGUGGAACGGGGACGCGGGCAAGGGUCCUACGGGAGGCAGCAGUGGGGAAUAUGGGACAAUGGGCGGAAGCCUGACCCAGCCAUACCGCGUGGGUGAAGAAGGCCUUCGGGGUGUAAAGCCCUUUUGGUGGGAAAGAAAAGCAGCAGGUGAAUACCCCGCUGUACGGACGGGAACCAAAGAAUAAGCACCGGCUAACUUCGUG
rnacentral:rRNA from 1 species